UGACUUCUUCUACGGCCUUGUUUAAAUCAAAAUUAUCAAUGUCAAAAUGGGCUAAACAUGCUUCCAAAGGGUCAUCUGCCAUAAUAUAGGAAAGGGCUUCUUCUACAAGAUCGUCCAUUUUGUCUACUAGGAAGCACUCAUCUUCCCUUGCGGGUUGAUCAGAGGCGUGGAAUACAUUCAAUUUGACUUUCAUAUUUCCAAAGGAUAUAUCCAUCACCCCAGUUCUACAAUUAAUACAUGCAUUGGCUAUAGCUAGGAAGGGAUGACCAAGAAUCAUAGGGGUCUGUUUCUUAAGGUUCGGCACAGGUUCCAUAUCAAGGACGAUGAAAUCAACUGAAAAAUAAAAUUUAUCUACCUUGACUAGGACAUCUUCAAUUGUUCCUCGCGGUAUUUUAACAGAUCGAUAAGCCAAUUGCAGGGACACCGAAGUGGGCCCCAAUUCACCUAAUCCAAAUUUCUCAUAGACUGAAUAAGGUAGAAGAUUAACACUUGCCCCUAAAUCUAAUAGUGCUCGAUCAAUAGAAUUGUCUCCUAUCAC
rnacentral:lncRNA from 1 species